CCCUUAGAUGUUCUGGGCUGCACGCGUGCUACACUGAUUAUUUCAACAAGUGUUUUAACUGGAGAGUUCGCGUAAUCCUGAAAUGUUAUCGUGAUGGGAGUAGAGUAUUGUAUUUGUUAAUCUUUAACGAGGAAUUCCUAGUAAGUGUAGGUUUAUAAGUUGUUCUGAUUACGUCCCUGCCCUUUGUACACACCGCCCGUCGCACCUACCGAUUGGAUGGUCCGGUGAAGCCUCGGGAUUGUGGUUCUUGCCGCUUUAUUGUGGCGUGACCGCGAGAACUUGUCUAAACCUUAUCAUCUAGAGGAAGGUGAAGUCGUAACA
rnacentral:rRNA from 1 species